UGCGCAGGCGGGCUUGUAAGUCAGUGGUGAAAUCUUGCCGCUUAACGGUAAAACUGCCAUUGAUACUGCAAGUCUUGAAUAUGGUUGAGGUAGGCGGAAUGUGUUGUGUAGCGGUGAAAUGCAUAGAUAUGACACAGAACGCCGAUUGCGAAGGCAGCUUACUAAGCCAUUAUUGACGCUGAGGCACGAAAGCGUGGGGAGCGAACAGGAUUAGAUACCCUGGUAGUCC
rnacentral:rRNA from 1 species